rnacentral:rRNA from 1 species
GAUGAACGCUGGCGGCGUGCCUAAUACAUGCAAGUCGAGCGAACGGACGAGAAGCUUGUUUCCCUGAUGUUAGCGGCGGACGGGUGAGUAACACGUGGAUAACCUACCUCUAAUACUGGGAUAACUUCGGGAAAACGGAGCUACUACCGGAUCAUAUUUUGUACCGCAUGGAUCAAAAGUGAUAGACGGUCUUGCUGUCACUUUUAGAUGGAUCUGCGCUGGAUUAGCUAGUUGGUAAGGUAACGGCAUACCAAGGCGACGAUGCGUAGCCGACCUGAGAGGAUGAUCAGCCACACUGGAACUGAGACACGGUCCAGACUCCUACGGGAGGCAGCAGUAGGGAAUAUUCGGCAAUGGGCGAAAGCCUGACGGAGCAACACCGCGUGAGUGAUGAAGGUCUUCGGAUCGUAAAGCCCUGUUGUUGGGAAAGAACAGAAGUGGAAUUAUAUCCGCACAUUCUGACGGUACCCAAACAGAAAGCCACGGCUAACUUCGUG